UAUUGCACAAUGGGGGAAACCCUGAUGCAGCGACGCCGCGUGAGUGAGGAAGUAUUUCGGUAUGUAAAGCUCUAUCAGCAGGGAAGAAAAUGACGGUACCUGACUAAGAAGCCCCGGCUAACUACGUGCCAGCAGCCGCGGUAAUACGGAGGGGGCAAGCGUUAUCCGGAUUUACUGGGUGUAAAGGGAGCGUAGCCGGCUGUGCAAGUCAGAAGUGAAAGCCCGGGGCUCAACCCCGGGACUGCUUUUGAAACUGCGUGGCUGGAGUGCAGGAGAGGUAAGCGGAAUUCCUGGUGUAGCGGUGAAAUGCGUAGAUAUCAGGAGGAACACCAGUGGCGAAGGCGGCUUACUGGACUGUAACUGACGUUGAGGCUCGAAAGCGUGGGGAGCAAACAGG
rnacentral:rRNA from 1 species